rnacentral:misc_RNA from 1 species
AGCAAAGCAACUCGCGAACACGUAGUUAACACUCGGGGAUCCAAGUGCGCCCCCCCUGGGGGACGCCCUUUCUUCCCCACGUUGGGACGGCUUGGAGUUCGUCGCUCUUCGCGAGUUGACGUCCUCUGGGCCUCCUCGACGCAACAAAAAACCGGCGUGAAAUGCGCCAAGGAACAUGAAAGAGAGUGCGCCCUUUCGGGCGUCGUCUUCUUGAUGAGUUUAUAAUGACUCUCGGCAACGGAUAUCUCGGCUCUUACAUCGAUGAAGAACGUAGCAAAAUGCGAUACUUGGUGUGAAUUGCAGAAUCCCGUGAACCAUCGAGUCUUUGAACGCAAGUUGCGCCCGAAUCCAUCUGGUUGAGGGCACGUCUGCCUGGGUGUCACGUACACACGCCUCCCGCGAACCUUCCUCUUUUUAUGGACGAAGGGUCAUGCGGGAGCAGAUAUUGGCAUCCCGUGCUUGUUCCGCGCGGCUUGCCUAAACGCGGAGAUCCGACGAUGAAACGUCACGUCUAGUGGUGGUUGACUAGGCCUAACGGCCCGCCAGUUCGAGGCGUGAGCGUUUGUCUCGCGGAAGUCUCAGACGACACCUUGGGCGUCCUCUAACGGGCGCCACUGUCGCGACCYCAGGUCA